rnacentral:rRNA from 1 species
CGGGUGCACUGAUCCGGCCGGGCCUUUCCCUCUGCGGAACCCCAUGGCCUUCACUGGCUGUGCGGGGGAAGCAGGACUUUUACUGUGAAAAAAUUAGAGUGCUCCAGGCAGGCCUAUGCUCGAAUACAUUAGCAUGGAAUAAUAGAAUAGGACGCGUGGUUCUAUUUUGUUGGUUUCUAGGACCGCCGUAAUGAUUAAUAGGGACAGUCGGGGGCAUCAGUAUUCAAUUGUCAGAGGUGAAAUUCUUGGAUCUAUUGAAGACUAACUACUGCGAAAGCAUUUGCCAAGGAUGUUUUCAUUGAUAAGGAACGAAAGUUAGGGGAUCGAAGACGAUCAGAUACCGUCGUAGUCUUAACUAUAAACUAUGCCGACUAGGGAUCGGACGAUGUUAUUCUUUGACGCGUUCGGCACCUUUCGAGAAAUCAAAGUGCUUGGGCUCCAGGGGGAGUAUGGUCGCAAGGCUGAAACUUAAAGAAAUUGACGGAAGGGCACCACCAGGGGUGGAACCUGCGGCUUAAUUUGACUCAACACGGGGAAACUCACCAGGUCCAGACACAGUGAGGAUUGACAGAUUGAGAGCUCUUUCUUGAUUCUGUGGGUGGUGGUGCAUGGCCGUUCUUAGUUGGUGGAGUGAUUUGUCUGCUUAAUUGCGAUAACGAACGAGACCUUAACCUGCUAAAUAGCCCGUACUGCUCUGGCAGUUCGCCGGCUUCUUAGAGGGACUAUCGG